rnacentral:rRNA from 1 species
CCUACGGGGGGCAGCAGUGAGGAAUAUUGCUCAAUGGGCGAAAGCCUGAAGCAGCAACGCCGCGUGCGCGAUGAAGGUCUUCGGAUCGUAAAGCGCUUUUGAGAGGGACGAGAUAGGACGGUACCUCUUGAAUAAGUCACGGCUAACUACGUGCCAGCAGCCGCGGUAAAACGUAGGUGGCAAGCGUUAUCCGGAUUCACUGGGCGUAAAGCGAGUGCAGGUGGUUGCGUAAGUUGGAUGUGAAAUUUCCCAGCCUAACUGGGAAGGGUCAUUCAAUACUGCGCGACUUGAGGGCAGAAGAGGGGGGUGGAAUUGCCGGUGUAGUGGUGAAAUGCGUAGAUAUCGGCAGGAACACCUGUGGCGAAAGCGGCCCCCUGGUCUGAUCCUGACACUCAGACUCGAAAGCUAGGGUAGCGAACGGGAUUAGAUACCCCAGUAGUC